rnacentral:piRNA from 1 species
UGCCCUGGUUCCACUUGAGUUCUAAGGUGA